rnacentral:rRNA from 1 species
CGCACGGGUGAGUAACACGUAUCCAACCUGCCGUCUACUCUUGGACAGCCUUCUGAAAGGAAGAUUAAUACAAGAUGGCAUCAUGAGUUCACAUGUUCACAUGAUUAAAGGUAUUCCGGUAGACGAUGGGGAUGCGUUCCAUUAGAUAGUAGGCGGGGUAACGGCCCACCUAGUCUUCGAUGGAUAGGGGUUCUGAGAGGAAGGUCCCCCACAUUGGAACUGAAACACGGUCCAA